UACGAAGGGGGGCUAGCGUUGCUCGGAAUCAUUGGGCGUAAAGGGCAAGUAGGUGGUCUCAUUUGUCUGAUGUGAAAGCCUUGAGCUUAACUCAAGAAGUGCGUCAGAAACGGUGAGACUCGAGUUCUGGAGAGGGUCGUGGAAUUCCCGGUGUAGCGGUGAAAUGCGUAGAGAUCGGGAGGAACACCAGAGGCGAAGGCGGCGACCUGGACAGAUACUGACACUCAACUGCGAAAGGCUGGGGAGCAAACAGG
rnacentral:rRNA from 1 species